CCAACAACAACCACAGCUGCUCCCACAACAACCACAGCUACUCCAACAACAACCACAGCUGCUCUGACCACAGUUACAGCUGGUUCAUCAACCACUACUACAACACCGGCCCCUGCAAUACCAGAGGUUAUGUUGAAGUUCAAAUUGGAGAAAAACUUCACAGCGGACUUGAAUAAUGCGUCUUCACCAGAGUUCCAAGCAUUAGCAAGCACUGUGGCUACAGCGCUGGACAAUGUGUAUAAAAAUAAAUAUGGAUCCAGUUUCAAUCGCACAGAGGUUCUAGGUUUCAGUCAAGGUUCAGUUGUGGUAAUCACUAAGCUGGUAUUUAAUGAUAUCAGUUCAGUCCCUGAGACCAGUGAUGUGGCUGCCACGAUGUUAGAGGCAAUAUCAAGCAACAGCUCUAAUUUCUCUCUCCCAGUGAACACAGCCUCUGUUGUAGCGACAAAGAUGAUCGUACAAACUCAAUCCCCAGAAGCCACACCAACCACAGCUGCUCCCACAACAACAACAGCUUCCCUCAUAACAACCACUGCUGCUGCUACGACAACAACAGCUGUGGUUACAACAACCACAACUGCUCCAACAACAACCACAGCUGCUCCCACAACAACCAC